rnacentral:rRNA from 1 species
AAUCAACGCUGGCGGCGUGCCUAACACAUGCAAGUCGAACGCGAAAGCCCUUUCGGGGGUAAGUAGAGUGGCGUCCGGGUGAGUAACACGUAGGUAAUCUACCUUCGGGUGGGGAAUAACCAGUCGAAAGAUUGGCUAAUACCGCAUAAUGCAGCGGCACCUAAUGGUGAUUAGUUGUUAAAGCGGGGGAUCGUAAGACCUCGCGCCUGAAGAGGAGCCUGCGGCAGAUUAGCUAGUUGGGAGGUAAUGGCUCACCAAGGCGACGAUCGGUAGCUGGUCUGAGAGGACGACCAGCCACACUGGAACCUGAGACACGGUCCAGACUCCUACGGGAGGCAGCAGUGGGGAAUAUUGGGCAAUGGAGGCAACUCUGACCCAGCCAUGCCGCGUGGGUGACGAAGGUCUUCGGAUUGUAAAGCCCUUUC